CCUCCUGUACUUUAUAGUUUUAAUUUUGUAAAAAACUCGCACAUAUUAUUGGUCAAAGUGGAUUUUCUCCAUUAAAAUCCGGACAAAUUCCGAUGCAUGGAAAGAUAAAAAUUGUGUUGUGAUGCUUAACCAGAUUCUUACUUUGGCAACAAAAUUCCAUUUAAAUAAUAAAUUAAAUAAUCGCAUCCAUCAAAAGUAUAGAGAUUCUUCUUCCUUUUACCAACUUACUAACAGAUAUGGUUCACAAGUGUGUGUAUAUUAUCUUUACAUCAGCAUCUUCCUUCAUUAACAGAGAAUGAUAAAAUUGUAAACAGAGUGAACAAUGGCAAAAAAAUAUACUUCCACUAGAGAUAAUUUGUGCAUAAAAGAAAUUAAAAUUGAUCCACUCCUGCCUGUUAUGCAAUGAAACCUCUGAUCAACUAUUCAUGUACUGCAACAUUGUUAAAUUAGCGUGCAUGGUUCUCCUCUAGUCUUUCAGGUUCCGGAUAUUGGCUCGGCAACUCUGGAUUUUGCAGGAGGCUAUACUAUGUAUGGAUGCAUUGUUAAAAAUCAUUUUGGUUCUAUAGUUUUUUAUGCUUGUAGGAAAUAUCUCAUCUCAACAAACUCCACCUUAGAUGAAGCUCUUUGAAUUUGAUGAUGUCUCCAACUUGCUAAGGAUAAAAAACUUGAGGAAAUUAUUGUCCAAUUGAUGCUCUUGUGUUGUUUUGUUUGUAUGUAUUAGAAUUGUUAUGGAUUGCCAACUUCUCAUGAGUACUUUUAAGAAGGCAUCAUCUAUUAACUUUAUAAAAUAAAAAACCUUAAUACUUUAGCUCA